rnacentral:rRNA from 1 species
UCCUACGGGAGGCAGCAGUGGGGAAUAUUGGACAAUGGACCGCAAGUCUGAUCCAGCAAUUCUGUGUGCACGAUGACGUUUUUCGGAAUGUAAAGUGCUUUCAGUCGGGAAGGAGUCAGUGACGGUACCGACAGAAGAAGCGACGGCUAAAUACGUGCCAGCAGCCGCGGUAAUACGUAUGUCGCAAGCGUUAUCCGGAUUUAUUGGGCGUAAAGCGCGUCUAGGCGGCAAGGAAAGUCUGAUGUGAAAAUGCGGAGCUCAACUCCGUAUGGCGUUGGAAACUGCCUUACUAGAGUACUGGAGAGGUAGGCGGAACUACAAGUGUAGAGGUGAAAUUCGUAGAUAUUUGUAGGAAUGCCGAUGGGGAAGCCAGCCUACUGGACAGAUACUGACGCUAAAGCGCGAAAGCGUGGGUAGCAAACAGGAUUAGAUACCCUGGUAGUCC